rnacentral:rRNA from 1 species
CAGCCGCCACGGUAAUACGUAGGUGGCAAGCGUUGUCCGGAAUUAUUGGGCGUAAAGGGCUCGCAGGCGGUUUCUUAAGUCUGAUGUGAAAGCCCCCGGCUCAACCGGGGAGGGUCAUUGGAAACUGGGAAACUUGAGUGCAGAAGAGGAGAGUGGAAUUCCACGUGUAGCGGUGAAAUGCGUAGAGAUGUGGAGGAACACCAGUGGCGAAGGCGACUCUCUGGUCUGUAACUGACGCUGAGGAGCGAAAGCGUGGGGAGCGAACAGGAUUAGAUACCCCUGUAGUCCCUGUCUCUUAUAC